UACAGAGGUCUCAAGCGUUGUUCGGAUUCAUUGGGCGUAAAGGGUGCGUAGGCGGCGCGGUAAGUCAGGUGUGAAAUCUCGGAGCUUAACUCCGAAACUGCAUUCGAUACUGCCGUGCUUGAGGACUGGAGAGGAGACUGGAAUUUACGGUGUAGCGGUGAAAUGCGUAGAUAUCGUAAGGAAGACCAGUGGCGAAGGCGGGUCUCGUGGACAGUUCCUGACGCUGAGGCACGAAGGUCAGGGGAGCAAACGGGA
rnacentral:rRNA from 1 species